rnacentral:rRNA from 1 species
GACGAACGCUGGCGGCGUGCUUAACACAUGCAAGUCGAACGGAAAGGCCCUGCUUGCAGGGUACUCGAGUGGCGAACGGGUGAGUAACACGUGGGUGAUCUGCCCUGCACUUCGGGAUAAGCCUGGGAAACUGGGUCUAAUACCGGAUAGGAGCCAUUUUUAGUGUGAUGGUUGGAAAGUUUUUUCGGUGUAGGAUGAGCUCGCGGCCUAUCAGCUUGUUGGUGGGGUAAUGGCCUACCAAGGCGGCGACGGGUAGCCGGCCUGAGAGGGUGGACGGCCACAGUGGGACUGAGAUACGGCCCAGACUCCUACGGGAGGCAGCAGUGGGGAAUAUUGCACAAUGGGCGCAAGCCUGAUGCAGCGACGCCGCGGGGGGGAUGACGGCCUUCGGGUUGUAAACUCCGUUCGCUAGGGACGAAGCUUUUUGUGACGGUACCUAGAGAAGAAGCACCGGCUAACUACGUG